rnacentral:tRNA from 1 species
AAGGGUAUAGCUCAGUGGUAGAGCGCAUGCUUAGCAUGCAGGAGGUCCUGGGUUCAAUCCUCAGUACCUCCA